rnacentral:rRNA from 1 species
UACGUAGGCAGCAAGCGUUGUUCGGAGUUACUGGGCGUAAAGGGCUCGUAGGCGGCCAACUAAGUCAGACGUGAAAUCCCUCGGCUUAACCGGGGAACUGCGUCUGAUACUGGAUGGCUUGAGGUUGGGAGAGGGAUGCGGAAUUCCAGGUGUAGCGGUGAAAUGCGUAGAUAUCUGGAGGAACACCGGUGGCGAAGGCGGCAUCCUGGACCAAUUCUGACGCUGAGGAGCGAAAGCCAGGGGAGCAAACGGG